rnacentral:rRNA from 1 species
AUUGAACGCUGGCGGCAGGCCUAACACAUGCAAGUCGAACGGUAACAGGAAGCAGCUUGCUGCUUCGCUGACGAGUGGCGGACGGGUGAGUAAUGUCUGGGAAGCUGCCUGAUGGAGGGGGAUAACUACUGGAAACGGUAGCUAAUACCGCAUAAUGUCGCAAGACCAAAGAGGGGGACCUUCGGGCCUCUUGCCAUCGGAUGUGCCCAGAUGGGAUUAGCUUGUUGGUGGGGUAACGGCUCACCAAGGCGACGAUCCCUAGCUGGUCUGAGAGGAUGACCGGCCACACUGGGACUGAGACACGGUCCAGACUCCUACGGGAGGCAGCAGUGGGGAAUAUUGCACAAUGGGCGCAAGCCUGAUGCAGCCAUGCCGCGUGUAUGAAGAAGGCCUUCGGGUUGUAAAGUACUUUCAGCGGGGAGGAAGGGAGUAAAGUUAAUACCUUUGCUCAUUGACGUUACCCGCAGAAGAAGCACCGGCUAACUCCGU